rnacentral:misc_RNA from 1 species
GAUGAAGAACGUAGCGAAAUGCGAUACUUGGUGUGAAUUGCAGAAUCCCGUGAACCAUCGAGUCUUUGAACGCAAGUUGCGCCCGAAGCCAUUAGGCCGAGGGCACGCCUGCCUGGGCGUCACACGUCGUUGCCCCCCCAUCUACUCCUUCGGGAUUGCGGGGGGCGGAUGAUGGCCUCCCGUGCGCCUCGUCGCGCGGUUGGCAUAAAUGCCAAGUCCUCGGCGACGCACGCCACGACAAUCGGUGGUUGCGAAACCUCGGUUGCCCGUCGUGUGCGGUCGUCGCGCAUCGAGGGCUCGAAAAAAUUGCCGGGCUCCGGCUCGGCUUUCAACGCGACCCCAGGUCAGGCGGGGUUACCCGCUGAAUUUAAGCAUAUCAAUAAGCGGGGA